rnacentral:lncRNA from 1 species
AACAAAUUAACAGUUAAGUUUUUUUUUACAAUUAAAUCAUUCAUCCAUUAAUUUCAAAUACCAUCCUUGAUGGUAUAACAGUUAAGUUAAUACAUUCAAUUUGUUUCUCCCUUCUCCUUAAAUGAGACGGCGCCAUUUGGACUUAUGCCACGUGGACGAAGGCGAGUGGAGCUGAUGUAGGCGAGCUCAGCCAACAGUAGAGAACCACGUGGCCAUCUGCUGACGUCAGCUCGCCAGCAGCGAUAAUCUUCGUCAUCGAGCGGAAGGGUACGAUUCAUCCCCAUUCCUCAGUAUUUAAGCUUCAAUCCGCCCCAACCUAAACCCUAAUCGACUCCAGCUCUCCAUUCCAGCAAUCAAAAUCGAGUUUCCUUGUCGUUUCCCUUUUGUAAGACGAAUCUACCGCCGACGCCGACGAGCUCCCAAUCAGUCGUGUUCCAGGUUGAUUCGAGGCCUCCAAGUGUGGCCAACAGCCUUGUCCGAAGGCCAGCAACCUUUCACAUGUGAUUAGAUCUCGAUCCGUGAAGCUUGGGUGAGUUUUGAGCUCUCGCUGGAGUUGGAGAAGCUCGACGGAGUCUGGACUCGAUUUGGGACUUCCAGGACAACCCAAGCCGAUCUAGCAUCACGUUUAGUCUCGGAGUCAGGUCAGGAACGGUCCCAUGGUGUUUAAUCGAGUUUUUCCCAAGUUCUGGGCGAGUUUAGAGGUCGCCGGAUUCUGGAAAUACUCGCCGGCGACGGCGAGUCUCGCCGGAGAAGAAGACUGAUAAGAAGUGUCAACGAUAAGUAUGAUCCUGAAGUUUAUUCAUCCGUCCACUACUUUAUUCAUUAUUUUUGGGAUAAGUCUGCUUGUGAUCAGUUGAAUUAUAGAUUAGUUUGUAUAUAAGAGUAAUAGAUAUCUUUAAUAUAAGGGUUGUUAAAUGACGUCCAAAAUUUUAUUGGCAAACGUCGUAAUAUUUGAGUUUGGUACUGAAAUUUUUUAUAAGACGCAGAAAUUUGAAAAAUUUUCACACCUCA